CCUACGGGAGGCAGCAGUGAGGAAUAUUGGUCAAUGGGCUUACGCCUGAACCAGCCAAGUCGCGUGAGGGAAGACUGCCCUAUGGGUUGUAAACCUCUUUUGUCAGGGAGCAAUUGGCGCUACGUGUAGCGUUAUCGAGAGUACCUGAAGAAAAAGCAUCGGCUAACUCCGUGCCAGCAGCCGCGGUAAUACGGAGGAUGCGAGCGUUAUCCGGAUUGAUUGGGUUUAAAGGGUGCGUAGGCGGAAUGCCAAGUCAGCGGUAAAAUCGCGGGGCUCAACCUCGCUCCGCCGUUGAAACUGGCGUUCUUGAGUGGGCGAGAAGUAUGCGGAAUGCGUGGUGUAGCGGUGAAAUGCAUGGAUAUCACGCAGAACUCCGAUUGCGAAGGCAGCAUACCGGCGCCCAACUGACGCUGAAGCACGAAAGCGUGGGUAUCGAACAGGAUUAGAUACCCGUGUAGUC
rnacentral:rRNA from 1 species